rnacentral:rRNA from 1 species
GACACUGGUAGACGGGUAGAGUAUACCAAGGCGAACGGGAGAACCCUCGUUAAGGAAUUAGGCAACAUGACCCCGUAACUUCGGGAGAAGGGGUACCCCCUAGGGUGUUAAAGCCCUGGAGGGUCGCAGUGAAAUGGCUCUGGUGACUGGUUAACAAAACCACAGGUCUCUGCUAAGCCGUAAGGCGAUGUAUAGGGGCUGACGCGUGCCCAGUGCCGGAAGGUUAAGGAGAGAGGUUAGCGCAAGCGAAGCUUUGAACCGAAGCCCCGGUGAACGGCGGCCGUAACUAUAACGGUCCUAAGGUAGCGAAAUUCCUUGUCGGGUAAGUUCCGACCCGCACGAACCGCGUAACAAUUAGAGCACUGUCUCGACGAGGGACCCGGUGAAAUUGAAAUGGCUGUGAAGAUGCGGCCUACCCGCAGCAGGU